UAGGGAAUCUUCCGCAAUGGACGAAAGUCUGACGGAGCAACGCCGCGUGAGUGAAGAAGGAUUUCGGUUCGUAAAACUCUGUUGUUAGGGAAGAAAAAAUGUAUAGUAACUAUAUACAAAAGAGACGGUACCUAACCAGAAAGCCACGGCUAACUACGUGCCAGCAGCCGCGGUAAUACGUAGGUGGCAAGCGUUGUCCGGAAUUAUUGGGCGUAAAGCGCGCGCAGGUGGUUUAGAAAGUCUGAUGUGAAAGCCCACGGCUCAACCGUGGAGGGUCAUUGGAAACUAAUAAACUUGAGUGCAGGAGAGAAAAGUGGAAGUCCUAGUGUAGCGGUGAAAUGCGUAGAGAUUAGGAGGAACACCGGUGGCGAAAGCGGCUUUUUGGCCUGCAACUGACACUGAGGCGCGAAAGCGUGGGGAGCAAACAGG
rnacentral:rRNA from 1 species